rnacentral:lncRNA from 1 species
GUGGGAUCUCACAGUCCCAGUUGAGCCACCUCAGCCAAAACAUCACAUAAGAACACAGAUGAGCCGUCCCAACUGAGCCCUGCCAAACUACAGAAUUACAGCGCUGGGGAGAAUGAACGCCUGAGUACUCAUGUCUUUAUGCACUGUAGUAUUAUUUCCUUACAACAGACUCCUGAACCUGGAACGGCAGUGUCAAAGGGUUCACAAAAUGUUAGACUUCUGAAGCAAAUCAGAUGGCACCUUUUUUGAAUAAUGAAGAAUCUUUACCCCUGGCAUGAGGAGCUGAGGACAACUCCCACUCCACGAUGUGAAGCCACAGAGUUUCGAGGCCCCAGGACCUCCAGCGUCAAUGUUGUGGGAUGAUGGGUGACAGAGCCAAAGCAUCGCCAUCUUGGACAAGCACGGUCAUUCUGAAGUUCCCCUUGAUCAAAAACUGCCUAAACCCAAAGGAUAUCAGCCUGAUGGCUAAGGUCAGCAUGACCAUAAACCAUAAAUAACAUCUCUGACCAGGAACAUUCCAAACCCCUCCAUGAGACAUGCCAGCCCUGAGAUAACCUCCCCUCCGGCCAGAAAGAUGUCAGACCCAAGAUAACCUCCCCUCCGACCAGAGACAUCCCAACCCUGCCAUAAACUUCUCCCCCACACAGAAACAUUCUGAGCUUGUAAUAAGCCCCCUCAUCCUAAAACCAAUAUAUACUCUUAGUCCGUAAGAGAAAGUGCUCCUGAACAAAAUUGGCCAGAAGCCCCUCUCCGGCUUAUUUUCUCUAAAAUACAUCUGUCGUUAAAUUGAGCCACA